rnacentral:rRNA from 1 species
AACGAACGCUGGCGGCGCGCCUAAUACAUGCAAGUCGAGCGAGAAGACGUAGCAAUACGUUUGUAAAGCGGCGAACGGGUGAGGAAUACAUGGGUAACCUACCCUCGAGUGGGGAAUAACUAGCCGAAAGGUUAGCUAAUACCGCGUACGCUCCUUGGACUUCGGUUCAGGGAGGAAAGCGAUACCGUGGGUACCGCGCUCUUGGAUGGGCUCAUGUCCUAUCAGCUUGUUGGUGAGGAACGGCUCACCAAGGCUUCGACGGGUAGCUGGUCUGAGAGGACGAUCAGCCACACUGGCACUGCGACACGGGCCAGACUCCUACGGGAGGCAGCAGUAAGGAAUAUUGCGCAAUGGGCGAAAGCCUGACGCAGCGACGCCGCGUGGGGGA